rnacentral:rRNA from 1 species
GACGAACGCUGGCGGCGUGCCUAAUACAUGCAAGUAGAACGCACAGUUUAUACCGUAGCUUGCUACACCAUAGACUGUGAGUUGCGAACGGGUGAGUAACGCGUAGGUAACCUGCCUGGUAGCGGGGGAUAACUAUUGGAAACGAUAGCUAAUACCGCAUAAUAUUGAUUAUUGCAUGAUAAUUGAUUGAAAGAUGCUAUUGCAUCACUACCAGAUGGACCUGCGUUGUAUUAGCUAGUAGGUGAGGUAACGGCUCACCUAGGCGACGAUACAUAGCCGACCUGAGAGGGUGAUCGGCCACACUGGGACUGAGACACGGCCCAGACUCCUACGGGAGGCAGCAGUAGGGAAUCUUCGGCAAUGGACGAAAGUCUGACCGAGCAACGCCGCGUGAGUGAAGAAGGUUUUCGGAUCGUAAAGCUCUGUUGUAAGAGAAGAACGGGUGUGAGAGUGGAAAGUUCACACUGUGACGGUAUCUUACCAUAAAGGGACGGCUAACUACGUG